rnacentral:lncRNA from 1 species
UUAUAUAUACUUCCUUAUAAUACCCCCUUCCUCUCCAUUAUCACACGCACCAAUUACUAUUAAAUCUGUGAUUUCCUUCUAAAUCUUGUGCAUUAAUCGAGUGAAAGUAAAUAAACAAUAAUCUUUUCGUCUGCAGAAACUAAAGAAGAUGUUGAAGAUGGGUUGCUCUUUCUCUUACAACAAAAACAUGUUUACAGUUCUUCUGGUUCUCUCCAUUUUCUUGGCUUCCAUACAACUUGGUGCAAUGAGGCCACUAGGAGAGAAAUGGUUGAAGCAAGAUAAUAGGGCCGUGUUUCAGUCCCUCAAAACUGAUCCAAAACAUCCUGGUACUAAUCCAUGCAGUAAUAUCCCUGGGGGAAGUGGCAGUUGCAACAGGAAGUUUGCUGGCAAUGUGCUUGUUCACGCACCUGCAUUUCCUAACUUUGUCAUGGAUGUUGCUGUCGAUUCCAUUGCUGACAAGACCCGCCCAGAUCAUUCAAGUUCUUGAAUCAUGUUCUGGUCUGGAGUGUUUUAGUUCAGUGCUGACAUAUCCAACAACUUCUUAUUGUCACCACAUUAUUGGUGGUGAUGAAGUAUAAUCCUCCUAUACGUGUAAACUCCAUUUUUUUUCUUCUUUUUCAUUCUUUUCUCAUACUUGCGCAAUGUAAUAGUUCUUUGCUUUUCUUCUUUUUCCUUCAUUAAACUAGCUUGUCAACAAAUGUAACAUUUUAAUAAUAAAAAGUAGAAAGAUAAAUAAAAUGUUUGAUUCAUUUAUUACUAUUAUUA